AUGUGUGUUCCAAAAAAGUUGGGUGGCACGGGAUUUCGAGAUCUAUUUUCAUUUAACAUGGCUAUGCUCUCAAAACAGACAUGGAGAUUGCUAAAUAAUCCCGACUCACUUUGUGCUCAAGUCUUGAGAGCGAAAUAUUAUCCUGAUGGGAAAUUAUUGAAUGCAGGUCCAAAAAAAGGCUCUUCCUACAGCUGGCAGAGCAUUUUUGCAGGACUACAAACUUUUAAGCGUGGACACAUUUGGAGAGUUGGCUUAGGAGAAAAAAUUAACAUUUGGGAGGACCAUUGGAUCCCAAAUAGUCAUUCCAGGAAAGUUUUUACCAGGAGGGGAAACUGUAUUUUGCGUACUGUUGAUGAGUUGAUUGAUCAACAUAAUGGUAGCUGGGACAAACAACUUAUCAGAGAUAUUUUCAUACCCAUUGAUGCGAACAAUAUUCUUGCAAUCCCGUUGAGUCCACAUCUACAGGAAGAUUUUGUGGCAUGGCAUAAGACAAAAAACUUUUUGUUCUCUGUCCGUUCUGCCUAUCACAUUGAAUGGGAUCAUCAGUUCGGCGCAUGAACUAGAAGAGAAGAUGGGCAAGGCUCUGCUGAACCGAACCCGGUGUGGGACAUUUUAUGGAAGCUGAAAAUUCCAAGUAAGAUUAAGGUGUUUAUAUGGAAGGCUCUGCAUGGUAUAGUUCCAGGCAUGGUGAUUCUUGCUUCGCGACACAUACCCGUCUCACCACAGUGCCCUAUUUGUCGGUCGGGUCCGGAGAAUAUUCGGCACUUGUUAUUUACAUGCACUCAUGCACGGAAGGUUUGGUCUGCGCUCGGGCUCCUGGAUAUCAUU
rnacentral:rRNA from 1 species